rnacentral:rRNA from 1 species
GAUGAACGCUAGCGGCAGGCCUAAUACAUGCAAGUCGAACGCUCAGUAGCAAUACUGGGAGUGGCGCACGGGUGCGUAACGCGUACACAAUCUACCUCUAAGCGGGGGACACCUCCUGGAAACGGGGAUUAAUACCGCAUAAUAUGCCGAAGUCGCAUGACUUUGGUAUUAAAGCAGCAAUGCACUUAGAGAUGAGUGUGCGUCCCAUUAGGUAGUUGGUGAGGUAACGGCUCACCAAGCCUAUGAUGGGUAGCCGGUCUGAGAGGAUGGUCGGCCACACGGGCACUGAGACACGGGCCCGACUCCUACGGGAGGCAGCAGUAAGGAAUAUUGGUCAAUGGUGGAAACACUGAACCAGCCAUGCCGCGUGGAGGAAUAAGGUCCUACGGAUUGUAAACUCCUUUUGACGAGGAAGAAAAUGUUAGAUUUAUGAGUGUCUGACGGUAUCUGCGGAAUAAGCACCGGCUAACUCCGUGCCAGCAGCCGCGGUAAU